rnacentral:tRNA from 1 species
GAUCUUGUUAGGCAUAUAUUAGUCUUGAAAACUAGUUAAAAACGUUCGACUCGUUUAAAGAUCU